GAACCAUUCUGCAGCAUGGCUGCCUGUGGAUCCUCUGGGGAAAGGUAAAUGCUGCAGAAUCGUACCG
rnacentral:pre_miRNA from 1 species